GAUGAAGAACGUAGCGAAAUGCGAUACUUGGUGUGAAUUGCAGAAUCCCGUGAACCAUCGAGUCUUUGAACGCAAGUUGCGCCCGAAGCCAUCAGGUUGAGGGCACGUCUGCCUGGGCGUCACAUAUCGUUGCCCAAUGCCUAUUGCAGUGCAAUAGGAAUUUCUAGGGCGAAUGAUGGCUUCCCGUGAGCGUUGUUGCCUCGCGGUUGGUUGAAAAUCGAGUCCUUGGUAGGGUGUGCCAUGGUAGAUGGUGGUCGAGUUAGAACGAUACCGAUCAUGUGCAUGCUCCCCAAAAUAUGGCCUCUAUGACCCACACGCGUCUUUUGACGCUCAUGACGAGACCUCAGGUCAGGCGGGGCUAACCGCUGAAUUUAAGCAUAUCAAUAAGCGGAGGA
rnacentral:misc_RNA from 1 species